rnacentral:rRNA from 1 species
CGCGAUCGAUCAGAGUUUGAUCCUGGCUCAGGAUGAACGCUGACAGAAUGCUUAACACAUGCAAGUCGAGGGGCAGCAUGAAUAUUGGCUUGCCAAUAUUUGAUGGCGACCGGCGCACGGGUGAGUAACACGUAUCCAACCUUCCGGUUACUCGGGGAUAGGCUUUCGAAAGAAAGAUUAAUACCCGAUGUUGCGUAUCUUUCUCCUGAAAGAUACGCCAAAGGAUUCCGGUAACCGAUGGGGAUGCGUUCCAUUAGGCAGUUGGCGGGGUAACGGCCCACCAAACCUUCGAUGGAUAGGGGUUCUGAGAGGAAGGUCCCCCACAUUGGAACUGAGACACGGUCCAA